UACAGGGGGUGCAAACGUUGCUCGGAAUCAUUGGGCGUAAAGCGCACGUAGGCGGUUCGUUAUGUCGGAUGUGAAAGCCCUUGGCUUAACCGAGGAAGUGCAUCCGAAACUGGCGAGCUAGAGUACGAAAGAGGAUCGCGGAAUUCCCGGUGUAGAGGUGAAAUUCGUAGAUAUCGGGAGGAACACCGGUGGCGAAGGCGGCUCACUGGCUCAUUACUGACGCUCAGGCGCGAUAGCGUGGGGAUCAAACAGG
rnacentral:rRNA from 1 species